CCCGACCUCGGCUACAGGAAGACUUCAUCCAGACUCCUACGGGAGCCAGACUUCAUCCCCGACUUCGACUACAGGAAGACUUCAUCUGGACUCCUACGGGAGCCGGACUCCAUCCCUGACUCCGACUGCAGGAAGACUUCAUCUGGACUCGUACGGGAGCCGGACUUCGUCCCCGACCUCGGCUACAGGAAGACUUCGUCCAGACUCCUACGGGAGCCGGACUUCAUCCCCG
rnacentral:lncRNA from 1 species